rnacentral:rRNA from 1 species
CCUGGCUCAGGAUGAACGCUAGCGGCAGGCUUUAACACAUGCAAGUCGAGGGGUAGAGGAAGCUUGCUUCCUUGAGACCGGCGCACGGGUGCGUAACGCGUAUGCAAUCUACCUUAUACAGGGGGAUAGCCCAGAGAAAUUUGGAUUAAUACCCCAUAGUAUAAUUGAAUGGCAUCAUUUAAUUAUUAAAGUUCCAACGGUAUAAGAUGAGCAUGCGUCCAUUAGCUAGUUGGUGUGGUAACGGCACACCAAGGCGACGAUGGGUAGGGGUCCUGAGAGGAGAUCCCCCACACUGGUACUGAGACACGGACCAGACUCCUACGGGAGGCAGCAGUGAGGAAUAUUGGUCAAUGGGCGCAAGCCUGAACCAGCCAUGCCGCGUGCAGGAUGACGGUCCUAUGGAUUGUAAACUGCUUUUGUACAGGAAGAAACACUCCCUCGUGAGGGAGCUUGACGGUACUGUAAGAAUAAGGAUCGGCUAACUCCGUG